GACCAAGAAAAUAUUUGCUUUUGAUGUGCAUGUGUCAUUAUAUAUAUAAUCAGACAAAGUAAAGAAAAACUCAACAAACAAGAAAAGUUAAAGUGAAUAUCUUACAAUAAAGUUUUAAACUUACGUAUAAAAUGGUUAUUACUAUGAAAACUUUAGUUAUGUUUGUUUUUACUGUUUUUUUCAUCGUAUUUUUUGUUGAUUGUCAUACGACAACUGCGACAGUUACCCCUGCUAAUACUCCAGGUUAUGGAAUAAAUUGGGCGACCAAAGUAUGCUUCCAGAUCUCAUCGCCGUGUGACAUAAAUGGACGAUUUGGGUGCUCAAAGUUUUGUGACAAGUGGGGUUAUUUUUAUGACCAUUGUGAACCGUAUAAAUGUUGUUGUCACAGAUAAGUCUGCGUUCAAAAUAAAAUAAUCUAAUAAAAUGUAUUGACAUUGUUUUGAAAAUAACAUCAACAGCUUUCAUGCGUUUUUAUUAAUAUAUGAUCAAGAAUUUAAAUAAAUAAAAAUU